AUGGAAGGUUUACUCCAUUGGGAUUUCAACCCCGGCCUCAAGGUCGAGGACCAGGUUCGUAGGAGAUUCAAAUCCACGGUUCAUUUCUCUCUCCCUUCUGCAUCCAAGGAAUUUUUCUUGGUGGUCACCUUCUCCUCUGCCUCCUUUCCCCUCUCUUGUGCUUCGGUUGGUUUGGCAAUGUUGCAUUGGAGGUCUUGCUUCUGGCUUUAA
rnacentral:rRNA from 1 species